UACGUAGGGUCCGAGCGUUGUCCGGAAUUAUUGGGCGUAAAGGGCGCGUAGGCGGCCUGGCAAGUGGAAGGUGAAAUCCCUCGGCUUAACCGAGGAACUGCCUCCCAAACUGCUUGGCUCGAGACCGGGAGAGGUGAGUGGAAUUCCCAGUGUAGCGGUGAAAUGCGUAGAUAUUGGGAGGAACACCAGUGGCGAAGGCGGCUCACUGGACCGGUACUGACGCUGAUGCGCGAAGGUCAGGGGAGCAAACGGG
rnacentral:rRNA from 1 species